CCUACGGGGGGCAGCAGUGGGGAAUCUUGCACAAUGGGGGAAACCCUGACGCAGCGACGCCGCGUGAAGGAAGAAGGUUUUCGGAUCGUAAACUUCUAUCAGCAGGGACGAAGAAAGUGACAGUACAUGACUCAGAAGCCCCGGCUAACUACGUGAGAGCAGGCGCGGUAACACGUAGGGGGCAAGCGUUAUCCGGAAUGACUGGGAGUCAAGGGUGCGUAGGCGGUAGGGUAAGUCAGAUGUGAAAGCCCGGGGCUCAACCCCGGGAUUGCAUUUGAAACGGUCUGACUAGAGUGCAGGAGAGGAAAGCGGAAUUCCUGGUGUAGCGGUGAAAUGCGUAGAGAUUAGGAAGAACACCAGUGGCGAAGGCGGCGUUCUGGACUGUAACUGACGCUGAAGCACGAAAGCGUGGGGAGCGAACAGGAUUAGAUACCCGUGUAGUC
rnacentral:rRNA from 1 species